AGUGAACGCUGGCGGUAGGCCUAACACAUGCAAGUCGAACGGCAGCACAGUAAGAGCUUGCUCUUACGGGUGGCGAGUGUCGGACGGGUGAGGAAUACAUCGGAAUCUACUUUUUCGUGGGGGAUAACGUAGGGAAACUUACGCUAAUACCGCAUACGACCUACGGGUGAAAGCAGGGGAUCUUCGGACCUUGCGCGAUUGAAUGAGCCGAUGUCGGAUUAGCUAGUUGGCGGGGUAAAGGCCCACCAAGGCGACGAUCCGUAGCUGGUCUGAGAGGAUGAUCAGCCACACUGGAACUGAGACACGGUCCAGACUCCUACGGGAGGAAGCAGUGGGGAAUAUUGGACAAUGGGCGAAAGCCUGAUCCAGCCAUACCGCGUGGGUGAAGAAGGACUUCGGGUUGUAAAGCCCUUUUGUUGGGAAAGAAAAGCAGCAGGUUAAUACCCCGCUGUUCUGACGGUACCCAAAGAAUAAGCACCGGCUAACUUCGUG
rnacentral:rRNA from 1 species